UACGGAGGGUGCGAGCGUUGUCCGGAAUCACUGGGCGUAAAGGGCGCUUAGGCGGCCUGAUAAGUAGGGGGUGAAAUCUUGCGGCUUAACCGCAAGGCUGCCUUCUAAACUGUCGGGCUAGAGCACAGUAGAGGCAGGUGGAAUUCCCGGUGUAGCGGUGGAAUGCGUAGAGAUCGGAAGGAACGCCGGUGGCGAAAGCGGCGUGCUGGAUCUUCACUGACGCUGAGGCGCGAAAGCCAGGGGAGCAAACGGG
rnacentral:rRNA from 1 species